AUUGAACGCUGGCGGCAGGCCUAACACAUGCAAGUCGAGCGGAGCGGCGGACGGGUGAGUAAUGCCUAGGAAUCUGCCUGGUAGUGGGGGAUAACGUCCGGAAACGGGCGCUAAUACCGCAUACUAUCAGAUGAGCCUAGGUCGGAUUAUCUAGUUGGUGGGGUAAAGGCCUACCAAGGCGACGAUGCGUAACUGGUCUGCGAGGAUGAUCAGUAACACUGGAACAUAGACACGGUCUAGACGCCUCCGGGAGGCAGCGGUGGGGAAUAUUGGACAAUGGGCGAAAGCCUGAUCCAGCCAUGCCGCGUGUGGGAAGAAGGUCUUCGGAUUGUAAAGCACUUUAAGUUGGGAGGCGUUACCAGCAGAAUAAGCACCGGCUAACUUCGUGCCAGCAGCCGCGGUAAUUC
rnacentral:rRNA from 1 species